UACGUAGGGGGCAAGCGUUUGUCCGGAAUUAUUGGGCGUAAAGCGCGCGCAGGCGGUUCUUUUAAGUCUGGUGUCUAAGUGCGGGGCUCAACCCCCGUGAUGCACUGGAAACUGGGGAACUUGAGUGUAGGAGAGGAAAGUGGAAUUCCACGUGUAGCGGUGAAAUGCGUAGAGAUGUGGAGGAACACCAGUGGCGAAGGCGACUUUCUGGCCUAUAACUGACGCUGAGGCGCGAAAAGCGUGGGGGAGCAAACAGG
rnacentral:rRNA from 1 species